rnacentral:lncRNA from 1 species
UGAAUUAAAUGAGUUAAAGUUAGAGUACGCAUUGCAACUCUUUAUUCUUAAAUAAAAGUGGAAGAGUCCUCGUGAGUUAUGUUGAGUUAACAUGUGACCUUGUUAAGUGUUGAUGGUUUUUGAUGCUAUUUUUACCAUGUUGGUGAGUAUUGUUGAGUAAUUAUAUAAUUAUAUGUAUAGUGUUAAGCUGUAAAUAUAUAUAUUAUUAUUGAGUUAUGUUGAGAUGUGUGGUUCAUAGAGGAACCACUGUUGUGGCUUUAUAUUGAUAAU